UACGAGGGGUGCAAGCGUUAAUCGGAAUUACUGGGCGUAAAGCGUGCGCAGGCGGCUUUGCAAGACAGAUGUGAAAUCCCCGGGCUUAACCUGGGAACUGCAUUUGUGACUGCAUGGCUGGAGUGCGGCAGAGGGGGAUGGAAUUCCGCGUGUAGCAGUGAAAUGCGUAGAUAUGCGGAGGAACACCGAUGGCGAAGGCAAUCCCCUGGGCCUGCACUGACGCUCAUGCACGAAAGCGUGGGGAGCAAACAGG
rnacentral:rRNA from 1 species